CCUACGGGAGGCAGCAGUGAGGAAUAUUGGUCAAUGGGCGAGAGCCUGAACCAGCCAAGUCGCGUGAAGGACGACGGCCCUACGGGUUGUAAACCUCUUUUGCCAGGGAGCAAGCCUGAGCACGUGUGCGCAGACGGAUAGUACCCGUAGAAAAAGCCUCGGCUAACUCCGUGCCAGCAGCCGCGGUAAUCCGGGGGAUGCGAGCGUUAUUCGGAGUUAUUGGGGUUAAAGGGUGCGCAGGCGGGCUGUUAAGCCGGCGGUAAAAAUUCAGGGCUCAACCCGGUCGUGCCGUUGGAACUGGUAGUCUUGAGUGGGCGAGAAGUAUGCGGAAGGCGUGGUGUAGCGGUGAAAUGCAUAGAUAUCACGCAGAACUCCGAUUGCGAAGGCAGCAUACCGGCGCCCGACUGACGCUGAGGCACGAAAGCGUGGGGAUCGAACAGGAUUAGAUACCCGUGUAGUC
rnacentral:rRNA from 1 species